GCCAGUUGCAGACGUCCAUCUAGUUCACGUCUGAUCUGAGCUGCUUGCUCAUCUGCAUUAUCCAGUUGGCAGGCAUUAUAAAUCAACUGAUGUUCCAAUUUUUUGAUCCCUAGAAUCUGCUGAAACAUUUCAUAAAGCUGUUCCUUGCUCAGAAUCAGCUCCGAUACAGCACUUAAGGCCAUUCGAUUUGGCUGUUUGCAGAAGUCUUCUUCUCC
rnacentral:lncRNA from 1 species